AUCAAUGUAGCAAAAUAUAUGCGAUGGAUUUAAGCUCCAUAAAUAGAAACUCUCUUUGAUAAUUUUUUUUUGAUUC
rnacentral:tRNA from 1 species